rnacentral:lncRNA from 1 species
CUUGCACGUUCACUCAUACAUGCUACUUCUACUCUGGAAGUACGCAUCCACAUACAUCCACUCAAUUCCAUCUCCAGAUUCACCUAAAAUUAUUCUACUCCUAUCCGGGAGAGAAUAGCCAAAAACUUUUUUCUAUCCCUGUUAUUCCCUAUGGAAUAAAUGCUUGAGAUAUCUUGGUUACUACCACUUGCUAUAUUAUUUCAGGAGAUGAGUGCUCUUAAGAAAAAUGAAUGAAAAAUACAAGGAAAUAAAAAGCGGCAAGUGCCUGGAACCUCAAAGAAAAGAAAAAGUGAGAUGAGAGGUAAAAAUGGACAAAUGUCCGACAGUAGAAUUAGGGGUACAAGAUACCCACCUGAGAGAAAACAAAAAGAAAAUAUAGAGCAUCUCAUUCUCCUCAAAAAUCUUCAAAGUGCAAGAAAGGUAUGUAUCCCCUUAAAAGAGCAAAAGUAGAAUUAGACUUUCACCGUUGUUAUCACCAUCAUCACCAUACACCAUUCACUCGCCACACAUGCACAUCUUGAUUUGACUUAUUGACUUGUUUCUCUAGAUCCAUGGUUUGACUAUGCAAUAAAUGUCUUGUAAAUAUGUAUUAUCUAUCUCCCACCUAUGAGCUCCAGAUAUCAAAACUUAUUAGAGUAGGGUCAGAGAGAAGGCAAUAUUAUUAUUCCUCAUACCAAAAAAAAAUCACAUACUUUGAGAGAAAGAAUACACCAUUACUACCUUGGUAAGAAUCCAGAAAUACCACAAAAGAGAGACUAGAGAGAGUCAUACAAGGAAUUUUGAGUUUUAUUUUGAAAAUCUACAAAAACUCUAGAGCUAUAGCUGAUCAAGAACAAGAGACAUGGCGCGUGACUAGACUGUUCUAUCUUUUAACUGCUCAAGACACAAGUGACGGUUGCAUGCCCCGUGGUGAAAGGUAAAAUGAGUAAGUUUUAAGUCUUAACAGUUUACUCUAACUUAGAGAUGAGAUCUUGCUUGAACGCAUGUGUACUCUUAAGGCAUGAAACCACUGCAGAAAUCCUUGCUCAGAGACGAGCAAGAGGUAAGCU